AGUGCACCCUCCAGCAGUGGUAUUUCCUAUGGCCUGUCUGUGCCUUCAAGCAGUUCAGAGUCCAGUAAGAAGGUGGUGGUGGUGGCCAACAGCAACCCUUUUCCACCCGUGCGUCACACCUAUCCCCAGAGUUUGGGAAGUUCUGCUGCUAGGGUCGUUAUACAGG